UACGUAGGGUGCAAGCGUUAAUCGGAAUUACUGGGCGUAAAGCGUGCGCAGGCGGUUAUGUAAGACAGAUGUGAAAUCCCCGGGCUUAACCUGGGAACUGCACUUGUGACUGCACGGCUAGAGUACGGUAGAGGGGGAUGGAAUUCCGCGUGUAGCAGUGAAAUGCGUAGAGAUGUGGAGGAACACCGAUGGCGAAGGCAGCCCCCUGGGUCAAGAUUGACGCUCAUGCACGAAAGCGUGGGGAGCAAACAGG
rnacentral:rRNA from 1 species